AUUGAACGCUGGCGGCAUGCCUUACACAUGCAAGUCGAACGGCAGCACGGGUGCUUGCACCUGGUGGCGAGUGGCGAACGGGUGAGUAAUACAUCGGAACAUGUCCUGUAGUGGGGGAUAGCCCGGCGAAAGCCGGAUUAAUACCGCAUACGAUCUACGGAUGAAAGCGGGGGACCUCGGGCCUCGCGCUAUAGGGUUGGCCGAUGGCUGAUUAGCUAGUUGGUGGGGUAAAGGCCUACCAAGGCGACGAUCAGUAGCUGGUCUGAGAGGACGACCAGCCACACUGGGACUGAGACACGGCCCAGACUCCUACGGGAGGCAGCAGUGGGGAAUUUUGGACAAUGGGCGAAAGCCUGAUCCAGCAAUGCCGCGUGUGUGAAGAAGGCCUUCGGGUUGUAAAGCACUUUUGUCCGGAAAGAAAUCCUUGGCCCUAAUACGGUCGGGGGAUGACGGUACCGGAAGAAUAAGCACCGGCUAACUACGUG
rnacentral:rRNA from 1 species